rnacentral:rRNA from 1 species
GACGAACCGUGCGAACGUUGUUCGGAAUCACUGGGCUUAAAGGGCGCGUAGGCGGGCGGUCAAGUCAGAGGUGAAAUCCCACGGCUCAACCGUGGAAGUGCCCCUGAUACUGACUGUCUCGAGGGAGGUAGGGGCGUGCGGAACUUCCGGUGGAGCGGUGAAAUGCGUAGAAUAUCGGAAGGAACACCGAUGGCGAAAGCAGCGCGCUGGACCUCUACUGACGCUGAGGCGCGAAAGCCAGGGGAGCAAACGGGA